rnacentral:rRNA from 1 species
CCUACGGGAGGCAGCAGUGGGGAAUAUUGGACAAUGGGCGCAAGCCUGAUCCAGCCAUGCCGCGUGUGUGAAGAAGGCCUUCGGGUUGUAAAGCACUUUUAUCCGGAAAGAAAAGCUUUGGGUUAAUACCCUGAAGUCAUGACGGUACCGGAAGAAUAAGCACCGGCUAACUUCGUGCCAGCAGCCGCGGUAAUACGAAGGGUGCAAGCGUUACUCGGAAUUACUGGGCGUAAAGCGUGCGUAGGUGGUUUGUUAAGUCUGAUGUGAAAGCCCUAGGCUCAACCUGGGAAUUGCAUUGGAUACUGGCAGGCUAGAGUGCGGUAGAGGAUAGUGGAAUUCCCGGUGUAGCAGUGAAAUGCGUAGAGAUCGGGAGGAACAUCUGUGGCGAAGGCGACUAUCUGGGCCAGCACUGACACUGAGGCACGAAAGCGUGGGGAGCAAACAGGAUUAGAUACCCUGGUAGUCCACGCCCUAAACGAUGCGAACUGGAUGUUGGGUGCAACUAGGCACUCAGUAUCGAAGCUAACGCGUUAAGUUCGCCGCCUGGGGGAGGUACGGUCGCGAGACGUAGAACGUACGAAACGAAAGUUAGUACGGACGUGAGACGNGCCGACGGACGACGACGAGGGAGGUAGG